GAUCAGUGGGGGAGCCCUAUGGGAGCUAAUUCGUAUCUCCCGUGAUUGCUCUCGAGAUGACAUAAGGUCUCUUGCACGUCGAACUCUGACUUCGAGUCUGACUUUCCAAGCUGAAAUGCGACGCUUGAGGAUAGAGUUAUAGUUAUCUUAUUGGUUUCACUGCCAACACCCAAUUCUUGAAAUGCACAUGCCUAAUGUACAUGAACCAGUUCCAGAAAAGAAAUCGCUCACAAUUUUGUAUGGAGGGAGUGCAUCAAGUAAAGUCCCUCUAG
rnacentral:misc_RNA from 1 species